rnacentral:rRNA from 1 species
AGUCGAGGGGCAGCAUAAGUAAACUUGUUUACUUGGUGGCGACCGGCGCACGGGUGCGUAACGCGUAUGCAACCUACCCUGUACAGGGGGAUAGCCCGAAGAAAUUCGGAUUAAGACCCCAUAGUAUUGUUUUAUCGCAUGAUAAAAUAAUUAAAGGUUACGGUACAGGAUGGGCAUGCGUCCCAUUAGCUAGUUGGUGAGGUGAGGGCUCACCAAGGCAACGAUGGGUAGGGGGCCUGAGAGGGUGAUCCCCCACACUGGUACUGAGACACGGACCAGACUCCUACGGGAGGCAGCAGUGAGGAAUAUUGGUCAAUGGACGCAAGUCUGAACCAGCCAUGCCGCGUGCAGGAUGAAUGCCCUAUGGGUUGUAAACUGCUUUUAUUUGGGAAUAAACCCCUUCUCGUGAGGAGGGCUGAAGGUACCAAAAGAAUAAGCACCGGCUAACUCCGUGCCAGCAGCCGCGGUAAUACGGAGGGUGCAAGCGUUAUCCGGAAUCAUUGGGUUUAAAGGGUCCGCAGGCGGAAGAAUAAGUCAGUGGUGAAAUCUUACAGCUUAACUGUGAAACUGCCAUUGAUACUGUUUUUCUUGAAUUUGGUCGAAGUGGGCGGAAUAUGACAUGUAGCGGUGAAAUGCAUAGAUAUGUCAUAGAACACCGAUAGCGAAAGCAGCUCACUAUGCCUGAAUUGACGCUCAUGGACGAAAGCGUGGGGAGCAAACAGGAUUA